UUUCAAUAUUCAAGUACGUUCAAAUCUUCCACCACCCAGAAAUAAUCCUCAGAGUUUCAAUAUUUCAAAUCUUCCACCACCCAUAAAUAACCCUCAGGGUUUCAAUAUUCAAGUUUUUUCAAGUCUUCCACCACCCACAAAUAACCCUCAAGGUUUCAAUGGCAACAGGCCCUCAUACAGCCAAGUUUUGCUUACUAGCCAAG
rnacentral:sRNA from 1 species